rnacentral:rRNA from 1 species
ACAGAGGUCUCAAGCGUUGUUCGGAUUCAUUGGGCGUAAAGGGUGCGUAGGUGGCGCCGUAAGUCAGGUGUGAAAUUUCGGAGCUUAACUCCGAAACUGCAUCUGAUACUGCAGGGCUAGAGUGCAGAAGGGGCAACUGGAAUUCUCGGUGUAGCGGUGAAAUGCGUAGAUAUCGAGAGGAACACCUGCGGCGAAGGCGGGUUGCUGGGCUGACACUGACGCUGAUGCGCGAAAGCUAGGGGAGCGAACAGGA